rnacentral:tRNA from 1 species
GGGUGCUUAGCUCAGUCGGAAGAGCGUCGCCUUUACACGGCGAAGGUCGUGGGUUCGAACCCCUCAGCACCCACCA